rnacentral:rRNA from 1 species
AUUGAACGCUGGCGGCAUGCCUAACACAUGCAAGUCGAACGGCAGCACGGGAGCUUGCUCCUGGUGGCGAGUGGCGGACGGGUGAGUAAUGCAUAGGAAUCCUGCCCAGUAGCGGGGGACAACUUGGGGAAACUCAAGCUAAUACCGCAUGCGCCCUACGGGGGAAANCGGGGGGACCUUCGGGCCUCGCACUAUUGGAUGAGCCUAUGUCAGAUUAGCUUGUUGGUGGGGUAACGGCCUACCAAGGCGACGAUCUGUAGCUGGUCUGAGAGGACGAUCAGCCACACUGGGACUGAGACACGGCCCAGACUCCUACGGGAGGCAGCAGUGGGGAAUACUUGCACAAUGGGCGAAAGCCUGAUGCAGCAAUGCCGCGUGUGUGAGAAGGCCUGC